UAGCACUUGCUUUGUUCUCAAAUUUGGCUCACAUUAGAACCACCUGGGGAGCUCUAAGUGACUUUAUUUAAUUAGCUGGCCUGGAGCCUGAGCCCCUGUGUUUUAUAAACUUUGUGAUGGAAUCUAAUGUGCAGCCAAUGCUGAGAACAACCCCUUUAGUACUUUGUGCCAAACCAAUCCAAUAUCACAAUCAUCUGGGCAAGUUUUUAAAAUCCAGAGUCUUGUCCUGCCCCUACCUCCUCCUGCUUUACUGACCAAAUGACUGGAGAGCCUCUGAGAGUAGGACCCGGGAAUCUGUAUUUUAAAAGCUCCCUUUGUGAUUCUGGUGCAGCUGGCCAGCAGACCCACAUUUCAGGAUUAUUAGAAUAGUUGCCAACAAUAAGACAAAGGUUUGUAGAGGAAAGAGCUUACAGAGAGCUAUGAUGCUCUGGGCUGUAUUUAUAAACCACAUCACUUGAACCGGUCUUGAAGGGAAGGUAGGAUUUAGGUGUGUGGAAAGAGAUAGAAGCUUUCACUCAUGAUGUCAACAGUGCAUUUAAAGUUUCCUGCAGAGAGGAAAUAUGCAGAUCACAAUGAAGGGCAAUGCUCAGGAAGCUGUUUUCAAGGAGAUCCAGGGCUAGGAGAAAAAGUCUUCAAAAAAUGUCUACCUAAAGCACACUGAGUAGUAGGAGGAGGACAUUAAUUAAGGGCUUGUUGUCACAAUGCAAGUGGUAUCGUCAGUGGCAAUCAGAAUGGAGAGAAAGGAUUGGAGAGACUUGGCCUAGGGUGGGACAGAGAGCUUCACCUUUCCAUUUUCCAUCUGGUUCCGCUCACUUCUCCAAGAUUUAACAUGGGAUUCAAAUCAAUUAGCUGAGAAUGAAAAGCAAAAAGGGAAGCAGACCCACACUGUAUCAGUCACUCGAAGUGAUCUUGUUUUGAGGGUUUUAGUUAUAGACUGGGAGUGGCAGAAGCUGAAAGCUUAUUUUGUCUGUUAUGAGGCCUCCCUAAAAUAUCUAUCUCACCUUUAUAGGAUGACUAUGUUUCAACUGACUUUU